ensembl:lncRNA novel transcript, antisense to RTP2 and BCL6
CCAAGAGUGAGGGCUGGGGAGAAGGGAAGCCCCAAGGGGGAGUUUCAGGGCCCUGAGUUAGGCUUCAGAGGCAGCGCUGGGUAGGCCUGAGAGGAGCAAGCACAGUGGGAGGCCCAACCUCAGACCACACUCAUCUGGAUUUCCAGAGGUCUCCAGGAGGCAAGGACUAUUUGGUGGCCCUGCUUCACCCAACUGCUCUUCUAGCAUUCUCCACAUCAUGUGCUAUGAGUUGGAUUCGAUCAGAAUUCUCACCACUGGUUCUAAGUCAGAAUCAUCUGGAGAGCAAGAAGCAGAAUGUCUGAAAUCUUCCUAUGGUACAGAACUGCUGGAUGAGACCAUCAGUGGGAUCCCUCACCUGCAGGCCAUGAGGACCGUUUUAUGGGCUCUAAACUGCUCACGGCUCACAACAAUGACAACAUCAGUCAAGAUGUCUCGACUCCGGAGACGAUUAAGGUUGAGAAGAACAUCACUGGCAUGGCGGGUGAACUGGAUACAGCUGUCAGCCGGCGAGGCCAUUUUGUCUUCACUUGAAAAAAGAGGCCAAAAUCCUGUUAGUCCUCCAGAACCUGUUUCCUGCUUGCCACAGGUAUCAGAGCAGGUGGCUUAGCCUGCUAAGGUACAGAAUGCAACUCAGGUCCCUUGUAUUUGAUCUUUGAACAAUUCAUAGUCCAA